rnacentral:rRNA from 1 species
UACGAAGGGAGCUAGCGUUGUUCGGAAUCACUGGGCGUAAAGCGCACGUAGGCGGAUGUGUCAGUCAGGGGUGAAAUCCCGGAGCUCAACUUCGGAACUGCCUUUGAUACAGCACGUCUUGAGUCCGGAAGAGGUGGGUGGAAUUCCUAGUGUAGAGGUGAAAUUCGUAGAUAUUAGGAAGAACACCGGUGGCGAAGGCGGCCCACUGGUCCGGUACUGACGCUGAGGCGCGAAAGCGUGGGGAGCGAACAGG